GUCCUCGUAGCGAAGUGGUCAGCGUUUGUGUGUGUCUUUCUUCAAGCGGUUUGAUUUUCUACUACAGCGUAGUAUUUGACUUGAGGGGCAGCGAAAGAAGACGUCGGUUCGAAUCUGACCGGGGACA